rnacentral:rRNA from 1 species
UACGUAGGGUGCAAGCGUUGUCCGGAAUUACUGGGCGUAAAGAGCUCGUAGGUGGUUUGUCGCGUUGUCCGUGAAAACUCACAGCUCAACUGUGGGCGUGCGGGCGAUACGGGCAGGCUAGAGUUCGGUAGGGGAGACUGGAAUUCCUGGUGUAGCGGUGAAAUGCGCAGAUAUCAGGAGGAACACCGGUGGCGAAGGCGGGUCUCUGGGCCGAUACUGACGCUGAGGAGCGAAAGCGUGGGGAGCGAACAGG